UACGAAGGGGGCUAGCGUUGCUCGGAAUCACUGGGCGUAAAGCGCACGUAGGCGGAUUGUUAAGUCGGGGGUGAAAUCCUGGAGCUCAACUCCAGAACUGCCUUCGAUACUGGCGAUCUUGAGUCCGGGAGAGGUGAGUGGAACUCCGAGUGUAGAGGUGAAAUUCGUAGAUAUUCGGAAGAACACCAGUGGCGAAGGCGGCUCACUGGCCCGGUACUGACGCUGAGGUGCGAAAGCGUGGGGAGCGAACAGG
rnacentral:rRNA from 1 species